AGUUUGAUUCAGGCUCAGAUUGAACGCUGGCGGCAGGCUUAACACAUGCAAGUUGAGCGGAGAGAGGUAGCUUGCUACUGAUCUUAGCGGCGGACGGGUGAGUAAUGCUUAGGAAUCUGCCUAUUAGUGGGGGACAACAUUUCGAAAGGAAUGCUAAUACCGCAUACGUCCUACGGGAGAAAGCAGGGGAUCUUCGGACCUUGCGCUAAUAGAUGAGCCUAAGUCGGAUUAGCUAGUUGGUGGGGUAAAGGCCUACCAAGGCGACGAUCUGUAGCGGGUCUGAGAGGAUGAUCCGCCACACUGGGACUGAGACACGGCCCAGACUCCUACGGGAGGCAGCAGUGGGGAAUAUUGGACAAUGGGCGCAAGCCUGAUCCAGCCAUGCCGCGUGUGUGAAGAAGGCCUUAUGGUUGUAAAGCACUUUAAGCGAGGAGGAGGCUACUUUAGUUAAUACCUAGAGAUAGUGGACGUUACUCGCAGAAUAAGCACCGGCUAACUCUGUGCCAGCAGCCGCGGUAAUACAGAGGGUGCAAGCGUUAAUCGGAUUUACUGGGCGUAAAGCGCGCGUAGGCGGCUAAUUAAGUCAAAUGUGAAAUCCCCGAGCUUAACUUGGGAAUUGCAUUCGAUACUGGUUAGCUAGAGUGUGGGAGAGGAUGGUAGAAUUCCAGGUGUAGCGGUGAAAUGCGUAGAGAUCUGGAGGAAUACCGAUGGCGAAGGCAGCCAUCUGGCCUAACACUGACGCUGAGGUGCGAAAGCAUGGGGAGCAAACAGGAUUAGAUACCCUGGUAGUCCAUGCCGUAAACGAUGUCUACUAGCCGUUGGGGCCUUUGAGGCUUUAGUGGCGCAGCUAACGCGAUAAGUAGACCGCCUGGGGAGUACGGUCGCAAGACUAAAACUCAAAUGAAUUGACGGGGGCCCGCACAAGCGGUGGAGCAUGUGGUUUAAUUCGAUGCAACGCGAAGAACCUUACCUGGCCUUGACAUAGUAAGAACUUUCCAGAGAUGGAUUGGUGCCUUCGGGAACUUACAUACAGGUGCUGCAUGGCUGUCGUCAGCUCGUGUCGUGAGAUGUUGGGUUAAGUCCCGCAACGAGCGCAACCCUUUUCCUUAUUUGCCAGCGAGUAAUGUCGGGAACUUUAAGGAUACUGCCAGUGACAAACUGGAGGAAGGCGGGGACGACGUCAAGUCAUCAUGGCCCUUACGGCCAGGGCUACACACGUGCUACAAUGGUCGGUACAAAGGGUUGCUACCUAGCGAUAGGAUGCUAAUCUCAAAAAGCCGAUCGUAGUCCGGAUUGGAGUCUGCAACUCGACUCCAUGAAGUCGGAAUCGCUAGUAAUCGCGGAUCAGAAUGCCGCGGUGAAUACGUUCCCGGGCCUUGUACACACCGCCCGUCACACCAUGGGAGUUUGUUGCACCAGAAGUAGCUAGCCUAACUGCAAAGAGGGCGGUUACCACGGUGUGGCCGAUGACUGGGGUGAAGUCGUA
rnacentral:rRNA from 1 species